AUGAGCAUAUCCCGGGCCAUUGGGGUCAUUAGUGGCCUCAAUGAAUGUGUCAAUUUGUUUCAGUGGGCUGGAUCUUCUAUUUCGUAUCUGCGCUCCCGGUGGUCUGCAACACAGGAGGAAAGUAUCCAUCAUGAAGUAUUGCACUUGCAGAGUGGCUUACAACGUCUUAGGGAUACUCUUCCUGCAAUGUACAGUCUUAUUGACAAAGCAGAGUGGAGGAUCCAUGAAGGCCGUGUCGCUGAGCUCCUCCCCAACCUCAAAGAUGCAGUGAAUGAUGCUGAUGAUCUUCUUGAUGAGUUCAGAUGGCAUGAGCUAAAGAUGGAGGUGGAGGGCAAUGCAAGUCAUUCUGCCUUUAUUGACUUCUACAAGACUACCGUACAAGGCAGCUUCAACAAAGUGAAUGAUAUCCAAGAGAGGUUGAAUAGUAUUUCUGGUCAGCUAGAGAAAAUGGGGCUGUAUGGAGUGACACCAGGGUUCGACAAAUCAGUCAGGCCAGACACUACCCCUUUCCCGAAUGAAAAAAAAAAAUUUGGUCGUGACAAGGAUCUGAAGGAGGUGAUGGGAUUUCUCGGUGUACCUCAAAGUAAAGGAAGGGCCUGUUCAAAACGCAAGAGAGCAAGUAGCACAGUCAAUGCAUCAACAAGCACAACAGCACAGAACCAAGUUAAUAAAUCAAGAAUAUCAGCUAUUCCUGUUUUGCCAAUAGUUGGAAUGGGGGGCGUUGGAAAGACCACUUUGGCUCAACAUAUAUGCAAUCAUCAAGAGGUGAAAGAGUACUUUGACUUAAUAAUCUGGAUUUGUGCAGAUGACUUUGAUGUAAAGAGAUUAAUUAAAGAUGCCAUACAAUCCGCUUCCGGAAAAAAGACAACACUCGAUCAUUUAGCUUCUCUUCAACAUGCUCUUUCUAGCAGUGUGAGCAAUAAAAGGUUCUUGAUUGUUGUUGAUGACGUGUGGGAUGAUGCCUUGAUGGAAAAUGAGCAGCGUUGGAAAGACUUCUAUGAUUCUUUGACAAACGUGGUACAGGGAAGUAUGAUGUUGGUCACAACAAGAUUUCCAGAUGUUGCUGAUAGAGUGCGCACAAUGGAGCCCUUUCCAUUAGCUGGUUUGAAGGAGGAUGUGUUUUGGCGUUUCUUCAAACUUUGUGCAUUUGGGUCUGAGAGUUGCGAAAAUGAUCCUGAGUUAGUGAGGAUUGGCAAAAGCAUAGUUCCAAAGUUGAAGGGUUCUCCUUUGGCCGCCAAAACUCUUGGACGCCUAUUAGGAAUGAACCUUCAUACAGCACAUUGGAAUAAUAUACUGGAGAGUGAACUCUGGAAGUUGAAACAAGAGAAGACUGAUAUCUUGCCAGCCCUUCGGUUGAGCUACAUAUAUUUGCCAUUUCACUUGAAGAGAUGCUUCUCAUUCUGUGCUGUGUAUGCCAAAGAUCACAAAUUUGAAAAGGGCCGCUUAGCUGAAAUUUGGGUAGCAGAGGGCUUUGUGGAACCUCAAGGCAACACUCCACUUGAAGAUAUUGGCCAUCAGUACUUUGAGGACCUUGUAAAUAGGUCCUUCUUUCAAAAAGUUCGUGGUACAUACGUAAUCCAUGACUUGCUGCAUGACAUGGCAAAACUAGUUUCAGACCAUGACUGCUUCACCAUAAAAAGUAUGAGGGACUUCCAAAUGGUUCCCCAGAAUGUUCGUCAUCUGUACAUACUGCCAAGCAGAGACUUGAGCACUUCCAACUUGUUGAGCCUAAGCAAUCACACAAAGCUGCGUACGCUAAUUUGUGACAAGUCUUUUGGGAAUCAAGGUGCAGCUAUAAUGGACCGUUGGUGUAGUGAGCUUCAGCGUUUACGUGUGAUUUUUUGGGCCUCUUCAAAUGAGUUGCCAGACAGUAUUGGCAACUUGAAGCAUCUUCGGUACCUUGAAAUCUCCAAGGCUUGUCCUUCCAAGAGCUUUUCUUCAGCAUUUUGUUCCCUCUAUAAUCUGCAGAGAUUAUACGUGAAGGAGUGCGAGUUAGAAAGUUUGCCCUGUGACUUUAGUAAGUUAAUAAGUUUACAGAGAUUUAAAUCACGAGGAUUUGAAUAUUAUGCAGGGUGCACUCUAAAUAUUGAUGCAACCAAUCAGUUCGAAAUGAAGUUGAUAAAGAAUUUGAACCAAUUUGAUGGACAUAUGAACAUACGGAAUCUUGGUUCUGUGAGGAAUUGUUAUGCAGAAGAAUUUAAACUGAAGGAUAAGAAGUAUCUUCGCAGACUGGCAUUGACAUGGUCUUUGUCGUACUCUCCUGAGGGUGUCGCGAAAGAAGUGCUUCAAGUCCUACAACCUCCCAGCGGUCUUGAAUCUCUGCUCCUUAAAGAUUAUCCAGAUGUGUCUCUCCCAAACUGGUUUCAGCUGCGUAUAAACCUAAAUGAGAUGCCUGCUGUGAUAGUUGACAACAAUAAUGACGAGAUUGGUACUUUGUCGUCCUUUGAAGAGCUAAUCAUUCUUCAGUGUCGAAAUCUACGAAGCGUCCAAUAA
rnacentral:rRNA from 1 species